GCGGAAAAAAGUGAGGCCCCGGCU
rnacentral:piRNA from 1 species